rnacentral:rRNA from 1 species
AGAGUUUGAUCAUGGCUCAGAACGAACGCUGGCGGCAGGCUUAACACAUGCAAGUCGAGCGCGCCCUUCGGGGUGAGCGGCGGACGGGUGAGUAACGCGUGGGAACAUACCCUUCACUGCGGAAUAGCCUCUGGAAACGGAGAGUAAUACCGCAUACGCCCUUCGGGGGAAAGAUUUAUCGGUGAGGGAUUGGCCCGCGUUGGAUUAGGUAGUUGGUGGGGUAACGGCCUACCAAGCCGACGAUCCAUAGCUGGUUUGAGAGGAUGAUCAGCCACACUGGGACUGAGACACGGCCCAGACUCCUACGGGAGGCAGCAGUGGGGAAUCUUAGACAAUGGGGGAAACCCUGAUCUAGCCAUGCCGCGUGUGUGAUGAAGGCCUUAGGGUCGUAAAGCACUUUCGCCUGUGAAGAUAAUGACGGUAGCAGGUAAAGAAACCCCGGCUAACUCCGUGCCAGCAGCCGCGGUAAUACGGAGGGGGUUAGCGUUGUUCGGAAUUACUGGGCGUAAAGCGCGCGUAGGCGGACUAUUAAGUCAGGGGUGAAAUCCCGGGGCUCAACCCCGGAACUGCCUUUGAUACUGGUAGUCUUGAGUUCGAGAGAGGUGAGUGGAAUUCCGAGUGUAGAGGUGAAAUUCGUAGAUAUUCGGAGGAACACCAGUGGCGAAGGCGGCUCACUGGCUCGAUACUGACGCUGAGGUGCGAAAGCGUGAGGAGCAAACAGGAUUAGAUACCC